rnacentral:rRNA from 1 species
UUAAGUUAUUAAGGGCGCACGGUGGAUGCCUUGGCACUAGAAGCCGAUGAAGGACGUUACUAACGACGAUAUGCUUUGGGGAGCUGUAAGUAAGCUUUGAUCCAGAGAUUUCCGAAUGGGGAAACCCAGCAUGAGUUAUGUCAUGUUAUCGAUAUGUGAAUACAUAGCAUAUCAGAAGGCACACCCGGAGAACUGAAACAUCUUAGUACCCGGAGGAAGAGAAAGAAAAUUCGAUUCCCUUAGUAGCGGCGAGCGAAACGGGAAGAGCCCAAACCAACAAGCUUGCUUGUUGGGGUUGUAGGACACUCUAUACGGAGUUACAAAGGACGACAUUAGACGAAUCAUCUGGAAAGAUGAAUCAAAGAAGGUAAUAAUCCUGUAGUCGAAAAUGUUGUCUCUCUUGAGUGGAUCCUGAGUACGACGGAGCACGUGAAAUUCCGUCGGAAUCUGGGAGGACCAUCUCCUAAGGCUAAAUACUCUCUAGUGACCGAUAGUGAACCAGUACCGUGAGGGAAAGGUGAAAAGCACCCCGGAAGGGGAGUGAAAUAGAACCUGAAACCGUGUGCUUACAAGUAGUCAGAGCCCGUUAAUGGGUGAUGGCGUGCCUUUUGUAGAAUGAACCGGCGAGUUACGAUUUGAUGCAAGGUUAAGCAGUAAAUGUGGAGCCGUAGCGAAAGCGAGUCUGAAUAGGGCGUUUAGUAUUUGGUCGUAGACCCGAAACCAGGUGAUCUACCCUUGGUCAGGUUGAAGUUCAGGUAACACUGAAUGGAGGACCGAACCGACUUACGUUGAAAAGUGAGCGGAUGAACUGAGGGUAGCGGAGAAAUUCCAAUCGAACCUGGAGAUAGCUGGUUCUCUCCGAAAUAGCUUUAGGGCUAGCCUCAAGUGAUGAUUAUUGGAGGUAGAGCACUGUUUGGACGAGGGGCCCCUCUCGGGUUACCGAAUUCAGACAAACUCCGAAUGCCAAUUAAUUUAACUUGGGAGUCAGAACAUGGGUGAUAAGGUCCGUGUUCGAAAGGGAAACAGCCCAGACCACCAGCUAAGGUCCCAAAAUAUAUGUUAAGUGGAAAAGGAUGUGGCGUUGCCCAGACAACUAGGAUGUUGGCUUAGAAGCAGCCAUCAUUUAAAGAGUGCGUAAUAGCUCACUAGUCGAGUGACACUGCGCCGAAAAUGUACCGGGGCUAAACAUAUUACCGAAGCUGUGGAUUGUCCUUUGGACAAUGGUAGGAGAGCGUUCUAAGGGCGUUGAAGCAUGAUCGUAAGGACAUGUGGAGCGCUUAGAAGUGAGAAUGCCGGUGUGAGUAGCGAAAGACGGGUGAGAAUCCCGUCCACCGAUUGACUAAGGUUUCCAGAGGAAGGCUCGUCCGCUCUGGGUUAGUCGGGUCCUAAGCUGAGGCCGACAGGCGUAGGCGAUGGAUAACAGGUUGAUAUUCCUGUACCACCUAUAAUCGUUUUAAUCGAUGGGGGGACGCAGUAGGAUAGGCGAAGCGUGCGAUUGGAUUGCACGUCUAAGCAGUAAGGCUGAGUAUUAGGCAAAUCCGGUACUCGUUAAGGCUGAGCUGUGAUGGGGAGAAGACAUUGUGUCUUCGAGUCGUUGAUUUCACACUGCCGAGAAAAGCCUCUAGAUAGAAAAUAGGUGCCCGUACCGCAAACCGACACAGGUAGUCAAGAUGAGAAUUCUAAGGUGAGCGAGCGAACUCUCGUUAAGGAACUCGGCAAAAUGACCCCGUAACUUCGGGAGAAGGGGUGCUCUUUAGGGUUAACGCCCAGAAGAGCCGCAGUGAAUAGGCCCAAGCGACUGUUUAUCAAAAACACAGGUCUCUGCUAAACCGUAAGGUGAUGUAUAGGGGCUGACGCCUGCCCGGUGCUGGAAGGUUAAGAGGAGUGGUUAGCUUCUGCGAAGCUACGAAUCGAAGCCCCAGUAAACGGCGGCCGUAACUAUAACGGUCCUAAGGUAGCGAAAUUCCUUGUCGGGUAAGUUCCGACCCGCACGAAAGGCGUAACGAUUUGGGCACUGUCUCAACGAGAGACUCGGUGAAAUCAUAGUACCUGUGAAGAUGCAGGUUACCCGCGACAGGACGGAAAGACCCCGUGGAGCUUUACUGUAGCCUGAUAUUGAAAUUCGGCACAGCUUGUACAGGAUAGGUAGGAGCCUUUGAAACGUGAGCGCUAGCUUACGUGGAGGCGCUGGUGGGAUACUACCCUAGCU